AUACUAUAAGAAGGUGUGUAUGCUUCUAAGACUCACUGAGUUGCUGGGUCUUCACCCCCAGGGAUGCCUUUGUACACAUAAGAUGCACACCUUCUGUGAUGCUAAUCUACGUACUGAUGGUUCGGUCUAAUAACUCAGCUAUCAAAUCCACAGCGACGGGAGGGGAAGUUCUUAUCGGUCCUACAAAGCUACAGUUGGCUCCAUUUCACAGAUGAGGAAUUUGGGCCGUGGAGAAAUGGCUCAGCCAGGCAUCACAGGGUUUCAAAAUGUCAGUCUGAUGAGAAAACACCAGAACUACCAUGGAGAAUGAUAAAUGGAAGAGUAAGCAGCAGAAAAACAACCAAGAACUACACGGCUCAUCAGCUGGGAAUUCCCCAGAGUUUGGCAAUGCUGUGUUUCCUGCCUUAGAAUUUGUGACCCCCGGUUGACCUUUGUAUCAUUUACAUAGAGGGGCUUCUCUGAAAGAAGAACCACAUGCACACUUAAUAAAAAACGGGUGGGG
rnacentral:lncRNA from 1 species